GAUUGAAUGAGCCGAUGUCGGAUUAGCUAGUUGGCGGGUAACGGCCCACCAAGGCGACGAUCCGUAGCUGUCUGAGAGGAUGAUCAGCCACACGGGAACUGAGACACGGUCCAGACUCCUACGGGAGCCACCAGUGGGGAAUAUUGGACAAUGGGCGCAAGCUUGAUCCAGCCAUACCGCGUGGGUGAAGAAGCCUUUCGGUUGUAAAGCCCUUUUGUUGGGAAAGAAAAGCAUUCGGUUUAAUACCCGAGUGUUCUGACGGUACCCAAAGAAUAAGCACCGGCUAACUUCGUGCCAGCAGCCGCGGUAAUACGAAGGGUGCAAGCGUUACUCGGAAUUACUGGGCGUAAAGCGUGCGUAGGUGGUGAAUUAACCCGUUGUGAAAGCCCUGGGCUCAACCAUGGGACAUAUGCAGUGGAUACUGGGUCACUAGAGUGUGGUAGAGGAUUAGUGGAAUUUCCGGUGUAGCAGUGAAAUGCGUAGAGAUCGGAAGGAACAUCUGUGGCGAAGGCGACUAUCUGGGCCAACACUGACACUGAGCUGCACGAAAGCGUGGGGAGCAAACAGGAUUAGAUACCCUGGUAGUCCACGCCCUAACGAUGCGAACUGGAUGUUUGGGUUCAAACUUUGGAAACCCCAGUUAUCGAAGCUAAACGGCGUUU
rnacentral:rRNA from 1 species